UAAGCCAGUUUUUAUUUGAAUAUUUUUAAAACGAAGAAAAGACAUUUAUUCCACAUAUUGUUUCAUCACCAUAAAUAUUAUCUGUAUGCAAUUUUCUAACCAGCUUCGAACACCCCUCUACCACUCCCGUGUGUUCCAUUGCGAAACAAAGUGGAUGCUGUGGAAGUCUGACAAAUUUCACUACCCAUUCCGUCUUGACGAUCGAGGGAUUUGUCAUUCCGGAGAUCAAUAUAUAAAUCCAGAUAGGGGAGAGUGCUUUUCAGGUAUCAGAAUGAUUAUUUCUUUACUUUCAACUGGAGAACAAAUUUACAUUCGAAUAUUCUAUGGAAUAAGAGAAAACAUUUGCAGCUAGGAAACCUAGUGAAAAAAUAUGCAUGAAAUUGGAGAUUACCAAACAUACAUUAUUUUGUGAAGUGCUGAUGAACCUGAGCUCUAGAAUGAAC